UACGUAGGGUGCAAGCGUUGUCCGGAAUCAUUGGGCGUAAAGAGCGUGUAGGCGGCUCGGUAAGUCCGCUGUGAAAGUCCAGGGCUCAACCCUGGAAUGCCGGUGGAAACUGUCGAGCUAGAGUCCGGAAGAGGCGAGUGGAAUUCCUGGUGUAGCGGUGAAAUGCGCAGAUAUCAGGAGGAACACCAAUGGCGAAGGCAGCUCGCUGGGACGGUACUGGCACUGAGACGCGAAAGCGUGGGGAGCAAACAGG
rnacentral:rRNA from 1 species